rnacentral:rRNA from 1 species
CGCGUAGGCGGCCUGCCAAGUCAGGAGUGAAAUCUUUCGGCUCAACCGGAAAAGUGCUCUUGAUACUGGCGGGCUAGAGGGAGAUAGGGGCAUGUGGAACUUCCGGUGGAGCGGUGAAAUGCGUUGAUAUCGGAAGGAACGCCGGUGGCGAAAGCGACGUGCUGGACCUCUUCUGACGCUGAGGCGCGAAAGCCAGGGGAGCGAACG